rnacentral:tRNA from 1 species
ACUUAAAUAGCUUAUUAAGAGUAAGAUAUUGAAGAUAUCUAGGAAAUAUAUAAUAUUUUUAAGUA